AUGGCGCCGAGUGCGGGGACUGUGGAGUGUGCACGGGGGAGGGCUGGGGAGGGGAGCUCGGGAGGCCCCCCGGGGCAGGGGUUGCGGGGGGCACCUAGAGCUCGGAGCGCGGGAGGACGCCCUGGGCCCCGGGGGCAGGCGGAGCGCGGGAGGACGCCCGGGGCCCCGGGGGCAGGGGGAGCGCGGGAGGACGCCCUGGGCUCCGGGGGCAGGGGGAGCGCGGGAGGACGCCCGGGGCCCCGGGGGCAGGGGGAGCGCGAGAGGACGCCCUGGGCCCCGGGGGCAGGGGGAGCGCGGGAGGACGCCCUGGGCCCCGGGGGCAGGGGGAGCGCGGGAGGACGCCCUGGGCCCCGGGGGCAGGGGGAGCGCGGGAGGACGCCCUGGGCCCCGGGGGCAGGCGGUGCGCGGGAGGACGCCCGGGGCCCCGGGGGCAGGGGGAGCGCGAGAGGACGCCCUGGGCCCCGGGGGCAGGGGGAGCGCGGGAGGACGCCCUGGGCCCCGGGGGCAGGGGGAGCGCGGGAGGACGCCCUGGGCCCCGGGGGCAGGGGGAGCGCGGGAGGACGCCCUGGGCCCCGGGGGCAGGGGGAGCGCGGGAGGACGCCCUGGGCCCCGGGGGCAGGGGGAGCGCGAGAGGACGCCCUGGGCCCCGGGGGCAGGGGGAGCGCGGGAGGACGCCCUGGGCCCCGGGGGCAGGCGGUGCGCGGGAGGACGCCCGGGGCCCCGGGGGCAGGGGGAGCGCGAGAGGACGCCCUGGGCCCCGGGGGCAGGGGGAGCGCGGGAGGACGCCCUGGGCCCCGGGGCAGGGGGAGCGCGGGAGGACGCCCUGGGCCCCGGGGGCAGGGGGAGCGCGGGAGGACGCCCUGGGCCCCGGGGGCAGGGGGAGCGCGGGAGGACGCCCUGGGCCCCGGGGGCAGGGGGAGCGCGGGAGGACGCCCUGGGCCCCGGGGGCAGGGGGAGCGCGGGAGGACGCCCUGGGCCCCGGGGGCAGGGGGAGCGCGGGAGGACGCCCUGGGCCCCGGGGCAGGGGGAGCGCGGGAGGACGCCCUGGGCCCCGGGGGCAGGGGGAGCGCGGGAGGGACGCCCUGGGCCCCGGGGGCAGGGGGA
rnacentral:lncRNA from 1 species